AUUGAACGCUGGCGGCAGGCCUAACACAUGCAAGUCGAGCGGAGCGGCGGACGGGCGAGUAAUGCCUAGGAAUCUGCCUGGUAGCGGGGGAUAACGUCCGGAAACGGGCGCUAAUACCGUAUACUAUCAGAUGAGCCUAGGUCGGAUUAGCUAGUUGGUGGGGUAAAGGCCUACAAAGGCGACGAUCCGGAACUGGUCUGAGAGGAUGAUCAGUAACACUGGAACUGAGACACGGUCCAGACUCCUACGGGAGGCAGCAGUGGGGAAUAUUGCACAAUGGGCGCAAGCCUGAUGAGGCCAUGCCGCGUGGAUGAAGAAGGCCUUCGGGUUGUAAAGUACUUUCAGCGGGGAGGCGUUACCCGCAGAAGAAGCACCGGCUAACUCCGUGCCAGCAGCCGCGGUAAUUC
rnacentral:rRNA from 1 species